GUAGCAGGACGGUCGUGUCGCUUGCCGAUGGGUUAACCGGAGCGGCAAGAGGAAAGUCCGGGCAACACAGAGCACCAUACUUUCUAACAGUGAGCUGUCGGUGACGGCAGAGUAACGUGACAGAAAAUAACAACCUUUAUUCCUCAUGAUAAAGGAAAUGGUGAAAAGGUGGGGUAAGAGCCCACCGGAUACCAUGGUAACAUGGUAUGC
rnacentral:RNase_P_RNA from 1 species